GAGUGAACGCUGGCGGUAGGCCUAACACAUGCAAGUCGAACGGCAGCACAGUAUGAGCUUGCUCUUACGGGUGGCGAGUGGCGGACGGGUGAGGAAUACAUCGGAAUCUACUUUUUCGUGGGGGAUAACGUAGGGAAACUUACGCUAAUACCGCAUACGACCUACGGGUGAAAGCAGGGGAUCUUCGGACCUUGCGCGAUUGAAUGAGCCGAUGUCGGAUUAGCUAGUUGGCGGGGUAAAGGCCCACCAAGGCGACGAUCCGUAGCUGGUCUGAGAGGAUGAUCAGCCACACUGGAACUGAGACACGGUCCAGACUCCUACGGGAGGCAGCAGUGGGGAAUAUUGGACAAUGGGCGCAAGCCUGAUCCAGCCAUACCGCGUGGGUGAAGAAGGCCUUCGGGUUGUAAAGCCCUUUUGUUGGGAAAGAAAAGCAGCAGGUUAAUACCCCGCUGUUCUGACGGUACCCAAAGAAUAAGCACCGGCUAACUUCGUG
rnacentral:rRNA from 1 species